rnacentral:lncRNA from 1 species
ACUUAUUCAUUCACUCUCGGCGCAGCGCUGUCAAUUACACACUCUUACAUAGGACUACUCAUUAAACCACCACCAAUCAAACCCUAGUUUUUUUUUUUUACUAAAAAACCCUAAUCNCCCACCAAUCAAACCCUAGUUUUUUUUUUUUACUAAAAAACCCUAAUCUGGUCUGUCUAAUCAACUCCUUUUGCUAAUUCACGCUAAGGUAAUCAACAGAUCUCCUUUGUUCUAAUUUGUUAAUAUCUCUGUGUUUAUUCACUGUGUGGACUUGUUUU